GGCAGGAUGGACGAGUGGUCUAAGGCGCUGCGUUCAGGUCGCAGUCUCCUCUGGAGGCGCGGGUUCGAAUCCCGCUCCUGUCA
rnacentral:tRNA from 1 species